rnacentral:rRNA from 1 species
ACGGAAGGCAGCAGUGGGGAAUAUUGCACAAUGGGGGAAACCCUGAUGCAGCGACGCCGCGUGAGUGAAGAAGUAUUUCGGUAUGUAAAGCUCUAUCAGCAGGGAAGAAAAUGACGGUACCUGACUAAGAAGCCCCGGCUAACUACGUGCCAGCAGCCGCGGUAAUACGUAGGGGGCAAGCGUUAUCCGGAUUUACUGGGUGUAAAGGGAGCGUAGACGGCGAUGCAAGUCUGAUGUGAAAGCCCGGGGCUCAACCCCGGCACUGCAUUGGAAACUGUGUUGCUAGAGUGCAGGAGAGGUAAGUGGAAUUCCUAGUGUAGCGGUGAAAUGCGUAGAUAUUAGGAGGAACACCAGUGGCGAAGGCGGCUUACUGGACGAUUACUGACGCUGAGGCUCGAAAGCGUGGGGAGCAAACAGGAUUAGAUACCCUGGUA